UACGUGAGGGGCGAACGUUGUUCGGUGUCACUGGGCUUAAAGGGUGCGUAGGUGGUUGCGUAAGUAAGGUGUGAAAGCCCUCGGCUUACCCGGGGAAUUGCGCCUUAUACUGCGUGACUUGAGGAUUUCAGGGGAAUGGGGAACUCCAGGUGUAGCGGUGAAAUGCGCAGAUAUCUGGGGGAAGGCCGGCGGCGAAGGCGCCAUUCUGGGAAAUUCCUGACACUGAGGCACGAAAGCGUGGGGAGCAAACAGG
rnacentral:rRNA from 2 species